AGGUGGUUUCGGAAAAGGAGUUCAUUCUUCUUCUUGCUCUUCACUCUUUAGUCUAAAUAGAUGCUUCCUUCUCGUUGCAGCCGGAGAGUAAACUGUUUUUGGGUCAGUCAGGAAAUAGUAAGCGAGAAGUAUGAACAAAUGUGUAGAUCACCAUUUCCAACGAAGAAAGUCCCUUGUGAAGAACGCCUACAUAUUUCGCCGGUGGCGCUCCAGUGGCAGCUGAUUGGUUCAGGUACAAGGUUGUAAGCUGGUUGACGAGUGACUUCGACCGUUCCUAAACUAUUCCGCUGCCCGUUACCAACAGCUCCGGACACCCAAGUCCCGUCUUUAGAUUAGAAUUAGAUUUGUUCACAGCCAGGUCUGUAUGUUGCCCUGCCACACCAACUCGGCACGAAGAGUGAGAAGGGUACCGACAGUCCGUAGACGGUAGUACACGCUAGCCAGCUGGGCUAGGCAAAACUAAGCCACCGGUACCUACCGAGUACCGUGUGGCGCUUCCGUUCGCGAUUUCCGCCAAGAAUGGCACGGACGGUUCUGCCAGGCCAUGAAUUGGUUCUGCCGAGAACAACGACGGCGACAGCGAAACCAGCUCGAGAUGGGUUGCAAGCAACAGUCACCCUCUACUGCGGCAUAAGGAGCGGUGAGGUAGGCCCAGCAAUGGUGCCACCCUCCUUAACAAACUCCUAUCAUUGUUCCCGAGAUGGCACAGCCGCACCGCACCUUUCUUCUGCACGACGUUGCAAUGAAGAAGCCGAGAGUGUGUGUUUCCGUCGCCGUGUCGCCUCAAUCGUGUCAACUUGUCUAGUACUACUCAACGUCUUGACUUGGCUGCUUCAACCCAGCAUUCGCAUUGCCCUGGUGUCUUUGACCUGCUGCUCCGACGCGUGCUGGCAGUGUUGCAGUGUGUACGUGCCGUUGCUUUCUUCUCUGGCAGCAAGCAAAGUCAAAGCCCUGAGUGUGCGUCAUCGCCGCCGUUUGGACCGGAUCAAGACACUUCAAGCCCGUGUACUGAUUAGUUUGUUAAAGUUCCUGUUCCACUCGGGAAUGCUCCUGCCACUGGUGUUUGCAAUCCUAACGGGAAUACUAGUACCUACUAGAAUACAGACAGUAUUCUUCCAACAUGAUGAUCUGCAAUCGGCGUGGAAGUUCCAGCCGAUCGAUGGCCCGUACUCUGCCCAUGCGUGGCCCAAGCUGCCCGUGACCAUUAAUGCCUACGUGGCACCUCUGUGCUGCCUGCAUCGUCCAACGCUUCAUCUGCCGACGUAUGUGCACCCUCGUUUCACCGCCUGAACAGGUGCCAGACAUGGUCAGCGUAUCCAAUGGAAUUGAACAUGUAAACUGCUUCCGCUAGCAGUGGCGGGGAUAUAGAAUUAUGCUACUGCUCCCGACAUCUACAGGACCCUUAUACAUGUAUAUUAUAGGUAUGUUUGUGUGUGGGUGGGUGCGUGCGUGUAAUCUACCCGUGUAUGGGUUAGACUGAGUGUGUUCGAAAUAAUGGUCAUCUAUUACCAGUUAAUUGUCAAUCUCUCUGCAGAACAACUUUCCAUUGAAUGAUAUUCCUUUUUCAAGUAUGUAUAUGGCUUUUGGUGUUGACUUUUUGGUAUUUAGAUAUUGAUAUUUGCUGGCCUGCUGCAGAUGUUUAAAGACAUUUUCCGGGCCCAAAUGAAUUAUUUAUCGUCUUUCUGUCCUGGCAAUAUGGUGUGGCUUGCUUAAUUUAUCGUAUUUAUUUCCUUUUUCCCGUUUCCAUCCCCUUCAAAGUGAUCAAAUAUUUAUUGUAACAUGUACAUGUAUAAUAUAUACCGGUAUCUGGUUUCAGUUUUCCCACUCAGAUUCAGUGAGUUGUGGCAGCUCGA